AUAUGUCUUAUUUUCUUCAGAAGAGGAGCUCAAAUCGACCGAUUGUUCUAGUUUCACAUCAAUUUUCUUUGAUUUGAGCCACUUUAAAGUCUUGCUUGAAGCUUUUGUCCCAAUGUAUUCAAGCAACCUCGUUCCUUUAUGCACUAUGGUGACCUUCUUAUCAGGAAAAUCAACAGCAAUCUCUGCUGCAAGCUCAACACCAGUUGGACCUCCCCCAACAAUCAAAACUGAACUUGCAGAUUUGAUCUUUGCAUUUUCUGCCAUGGAAAAUCCUCCUCAUAAGUCAAAUGAUAUAAAUACAUUGAAAAUCACUAGCCUCAAAAUCCAAAACAGGCCAUAGCAAUAUUUUAUAUACAAUGGAACUUUGACUAGAAAUACACAACCUAGGCGUUGUUCGGAAGCAUCUAUAAACACUUGUUGGAAAACAAAAAUGAAUUGAACUUCUCUCAUAAGUUAAAAUCACCUUGUGCGCUUAACUUUUAUAGAAGCUCUUUUAUCUAACUUUUCUAAAAGUUGAAGUGCAUAAGUUGAUUUUAACUUACAAGAAAAUUCAAUUCAUUUUAUUUUCUUAUUUUCUCCACUCCUAAAUAUUUAUGAAAAAAGCUCAUCCAAACAAAGUCAUAUACUACUCCUUAUAAUCUAGCCUCGAACUAUUAUAUUCAAACCUACAAAGGGAAAUCAUCUUAAAUUCACAGUAGAUGAAUCAUGAAUCAUGAAAAAUCAAAAGUGAUUGAUAUUCCAUUAAUUUGAAUUUAGAUAUUUCUUUGUUUGCUUUGCUUCAACUUAAAGUCUUACCUCCUUUGUAUUGGUCAAGUCUUUCACUCCUGGUUUUGGGGAUUGGUUCUGUGUGUCCAGUGGCAAUAACAAGAUAGUCAUAGGCAAUCUGCUGGCCAUCUUCAGUCACCACUGCAGUUUCAGUUAUGUUGACAGCACUGGAUACAACAAGGUUACCCUUUUUGAAGUACUCUCUAUGGUUGAUCACUAUCCUUUCAGCAAAAGUUGGCUCAACCAAUCCCCUCAAACUUGCCCAUGGAAUCUCAAAAUAUUCCUUCCUGUGUUCAACACCUCUCAGUCAAUCCAACCACAUACAUAACAAGCUCUUUGUGAGCAAACAGAACAUCAAAUAUUUCUCAAACAAAUUAUCACUCUACAUGAAACAUGAUAAAAUCUUAGUCCUCUCUCAAAUUUUGGGUGUGUUUGAAAAAUGUUCUAAACUUAUUUUUUUGGUCCACCCCAUGUAUCGUUUUUUUAAAGUCAAUCCUGUUCCAGGAACUGUCAUACACUAUAAAUGGACACCUCUUCCUACUGAGCUUAAAUCUUAGUCAUCAAGUUGUGAAGAUUAGCCCCUUCUGUUAGAUUCAAUCCCUAUAGGUAAGGUUAUAAGCUUAUUUUGAACUUACCAAAGCAGAAUAAGCUUUUUCACUUCUAAUAAACUUCUAGAGGUAAUUUAUUAAAAUAAAUUUUCUUUUUAACUUAUUUCAAUAAACUUUAUAAUUAAACUCUUAAGUAACAACUAACAAACACUUAAAUAUUGUUUGAAGUGAACCAUAAAAAUUCAAUUAAACAUAGAAAAGAACAUGAAUUAAACUACAAAGAGACUAUGGUAUAGCAGCUACAAAUAGAGAGAGAGAGAGAGAGAGCUCACGGAUCAAUAAGGGUGACGUUGGCUUGACGUUGUAUAGUUUUUGCAAGGUUGGCACCGGCAACACCACCUCCUAGGAUCACCACUUUCUUCUCCGCCAUUUUUUGUGCUUGAAAUUUUCUCUCUCCCUUGAUUACAAGUUGAAGUUUGCGUUAUAAUAAUGAUUGUUAUGUUCUCACAAGAUAAGGCAUCAACAUAAAUAGAUGUUGUUUCGUACGUCAUUGCAUGUAUCAUCAAAUUAAGUCCAAAUGUCAAAUUUUGAAUUUGGACAUAAAAAAGAUUAAAGCCAAAUGGAAGCUGUAGCUUCUGUCAACUUGGCAGUUCCCACCUUCCCAGUACACAAACCAGAAAGCGGUAUUGUAACUUCUCUCUGU
rnacentral:lncRNA from 1 species